UAAAUGUGGAAGACACAUCUCAGUUGAAGGCAUUCAGUUGUACAACUGACUAGGUAUCCCCUUUCCUUUCCUUUCUCUUCCCAACACACACACACACACACACACUCUUGAGCCCAACAAUGGCAGGAGAGUUUCACAGCCCCCUAAUCCCAAAUGCAGAGGCCUUUAAAGCCCCAAUUAGGCUGAUCCCUGUCCAGAGGUCAUUACAAUACAGUACCCCAUGGAUAUUCAAAAUAACAAGUACAAAACAGCUCAUAAAGGACAAUCCAGAGACACUAUUUGCUGCUACAAAGAAGGGAACUUAAGUAACUUAAUUGUCCACACAGACCAUCCCCUGGCAUGGUGCUAUAUUAACACAGACCAUCCCCUGGCAUGGCACAGUGCUAUAAGAGCACACUACCCCUAUGCCAAGAGAGAGGGUAUUGGUCCAGGGUGGAAACUCACAAUACUAGACACUGAGGAAAUUGAAACAACCUCUGUCAACGUGUACAAGUCUGGGACAGUAAUGGUGCAGGGCAUCCUCAUGCAGUUCUAGCAAGACUUUAACAGGAUCAAAGAGAGAGCACAGAAAGGGAAAAUCUCUCUCUCUGUAACGACAACCCCCCCACAUCCACUGAGGACACAAAAUCCAGAAAUCACUGACUCAAAUGGCAAAUACAUUCAGGAGAAUAACACUUUUCCCCCAAACACAAAGUGGCUAAACUCUGGUGUCCAAACAGUAGGCAUGUCCUGGAGCUGUUGUCAGAGGACAAACAGUAGGCAUGUCCUGGAGCUGUUGUCAGAGGACAAACAGUAGGCACGGCCUGGAGCUGUUGUCAGAGGACAAACAGUAGGCAUGCCCUGGAGCUGUUGUCAGAGGACAAACAGUAGUCAUGCCCUGGAGCUGUUGUCAGAGGACAGACUAGGGUCCCCCAGCCACAUCAUAAUUCACACCGGCACAAAUGACCUGAGGGCCCAGCAGGAAAUGGUGUCAAAGGGAGUGAUUGAAAAAGCUUCUUCCACUUUCUCCAAUGCACAAGUGGUUAUCUCCACCUUGCUACCAGAGAAGAUAUUCACUCUGCUACCAUACAGUGGGUGAAUGCAAGCAUUUCACAUGACUGUGCCUCAACACCUAAUGUCUACCUGACCCACCACUUCACCCUGGACUUGAACAGCCUUUACAAACAGGUCCACUUCUACAAGGCAGCAAAUCCAACUUUUUUCAGGACCCUGAAGGACGUCAACCUCAACCGCAGCCCCAGCACCUCACACAGAGCAACAGAAGCCCCGCCCAGACCAGUGAGACACCCUCCUGAAGGACCUGCACUGAGAGAACCAACGCCAAGAGGACUUACUGUACACCCAGACCAUAGCUUUACCAGCCACACCCCACCCAGCUGAGACCACCUCAAACAAACAUUUCCCGGGACCGUGCAUUUCCUGGGACUGUGACUCAAAACCUAAUGUCUACCUGGGCCACCACUUCACCUUGAACUUCAACAACCCUUUAUAGACCCCCCUACCACCCACCCCUGCAGCAAGGACCUCAACAUAACAGCUGCACAUACUGUAUGCCCAGAACGUGAGCAGAGCAACAGGCCCAACCCCAGUAAUGAGACACCCCCCAAGCCCCAUCCUGCAACCUAAGAGGUAUGUAUCAGAUGCUCAACAUGCUCUGCUCACAGCUACUGUGAUGGUCCGGGCAUAAACCACACAAAAACAACACUAGACACGAUGGAACACAAAGCUUUUACUAUCUCAUCCUGGAAUAUACAAGGUCUGAGGUCAUCUGCCUUUAGCCCAAAGAGCAGGAACCCGGACUUCAUCAAAGAAAUUGGAAAUACAGACAAUGUCAUCCUACAAGACACCUGGUAUAGAGGAGAUGGACCAACUGGUUGCCCUCUAGGUUACAGAGAGCUGGUAGUCCCAUCCACCAAACUACCAGGUGGGUGGUAUAGAGGAGACAGACCCACUGGUUGCCCUCUAGGUUACAGAAAGCUGGUAGUCCCAUCCACCAAACUACCAGGUGGGUGGUAUAGAGGAGACAGACCCACUGGUUGCCCUCUAGGUUACAGAAAGCUGGUAGUCCCAUCCACCAAACUACCAGGUGGGUGGUAUAGAGGAGACAGACCCACUGGUUGCCCUCUAGGUUACAGAAAGCUGGUAGUCCCAUCCACCAAACUACCAGGUGUGAAACAGGGAAGAGACUCAGGGGGUAUGCUAAUGUGUUAUAGAGGAGACCUAACCCACUCUAUUACAUUAGUCAAAACAGGAACAUUUUACAUCUGGCUAGAAAUUACUAAAGAAAUGAUCUCAACAGAGAAAAAUGUCCUCACGUGUGCUACCUAUAUCCCCCCUAUAGAAUCCCCAUACUUUAACAAUGACAGCUUCUCCAUCCUAGAGGGGAGAUCAUUAUUGUAGGUAUUGCCUUUACCUCUCUUAUCCUACCUCAUUUGCACAUGUGGUAUAUCAAUUUUUCUACUGUAUUAUUGAUUGUAUGUUUGUUUAUUCCAUGUGUAACUCUGUGUUGUUGUAUGUGUCACACUGCUUUGCUUUAUCUUGGACAGGUCACAGUUGCAAAUUAGAACUUGUUCUCAACUGGCCUACCUGGUUAAAUAAAGGUGUUCUCAACUAGCCCACCUAGUUAAAUAAAGGUGUCCUCAACUAGCCUACCUGGUUAAAUAAAGGUGUUCUCAACUAGCCUACCUAGUUAAAUAAAGGUGUUCUCAACUAGCCUACCUGGUUAAAUAAAGGUGUUCUCAACUAGCCUACCUAGUUAAAUAAAGGUGUC
ensembl:lncRNA